UACAGAGGGGCAAGCGUUAUUCGGAUUAUUGGGCGUAAAGGGCGCGUAGGCGGCUUGGCAAGUGGAUGGUGAAAUCCCUCGGCUUAACCGAGGAACUGCCGUCCAAAACUGCUUCGCUUGAGACCGGGAGAGGUGAGUGGAAUUCCCAGUGUAGCGGUGAAAUGCGUAGAUAUUGGGAGGAACACCAGUGGCGAAGGCGGCUAUCUGGACGGUUUCUGACGCUAAGACGCGAAAGCGUGGGGAGCAAACAGG
rnacentral:rRNA from 1 species